UACGUAGGGCGCAAGCGUUUGUCCGGAAUUAUUGGGCGUAAAGAGCUCGUAGGCGGUCUGUUGCGUCAGGAGUGAAAACUCGGGGCUUAACCCCGAGCCUGCUUCUGAUACGGGCAGACUAGAGGUAUGCAGGGGAGAACGGAAUUCCUGGUGUAGCGGUGAAAUGCGCAGAUAUCAGGAGGAACACCGGUGGCGAAGGCGGAUCUCUGGGCCUUACCUGACGCUCAGGCGCGAAAGCUAGGGGAGCGAACAGG
rnacentral:rRNA from 1 species